rnacentral:tRNA from 16 species
GACAUAGGUUAGUUGGUAGUAGCACUAGGGUCUAAUUUCAAAGGUCCUGGGUUCAAACCCAUCUG